AUCAAUUAACUUCACCCAUUCACUUGUUUUGGCUUUGUCCAUUGUUAAUCUUUUCAUGCAUUAGCCGUAGGUUUCAAUUAUCAUUGUGGUUGAUGUAAAUCUUGCCUAUCCUUAGUGAGUCGACAGUAAGACUUCCGUACUGAAAACAGGGCUAACCCCUCUAGUACGUCGAAGCUAUCCUCGCAUGGUGGAUGUUGGUCUUGGUCG
rnacentral:lncRNA from 1 species